rnacentral:tRNA from 1 species
CCCUUAAAAGUCCCGAUAGCA